ACGGGUGAGUAACGCGUAAGUAAUCUACCCUGGCAUCUGGAAUAACCCACCGAAAGGUGUGCUAAUACCGGAUACGCUGAUUUAUCAGGAAAGGUGGCCUCUUCAUGAAAGCUACUGUGCCGGGAGGAGCUUGCGUACCAUUAGCUAGUUGGUGGGGUAAUGGCCUACCAAGGCGACGAUGGUUAGCGGGUCUGAGAGGAUGAUCCGCCACACUGGAACUGGAACACGGACCAGACUCCUACGGGAGGCAGCAGUGAGGAAUAUUGCGCAAUGGGGGAAACCCUGACGCAGCGACGCCGCGUGGAUGAUGAAGGCCUUCGGGUCGUAAAAUCCUGUCAGAUGGAAAGAAAUGUCAUAUGCCUAAUAUGUGUAUGAUUUGACGGUACCAUCAAAGGAAGCACCGGCUAACUCCGUGCCAGCAGCCGCGGUAAUACGGAGGGUGCAAGCGUUGUUCGGAAUUACUGGGCGUAAAGCGCGCGUAGGCGGCUUUUUAAGUCAGAUGUGAAAGUCCACGGCUCAACCGUGGAAGUGCAUUUGAUACUGGGAAGCUUGAGUACUGGAGGGGAUGGUGGAAUUCCCGGUGUAGAGGUGAAAUUCGUAGAUAUCGGGAGGAAUACCGGUGGCGAAGGCGACCAUCUGGCCAGAUACUGACGCUGAG
rnacentral:rRNA from 1 species